GUCGCUGCAAAGGAGUUUGGCUUCACCAGGCCAUGCAGAUGGCCUGGGGAGUUACUGUUGCAGGGGACUUGUUGGGGUUUAGCAUGGACUGGGAUGUCACAGGGGGCUCUUGGAGCCCCCAUGCCCUUCCCAGCUGGGGCUCCUGUGGAAACUGACCUAGUUGAAAUCUAAGUUUCUGUAAGAUAGAGAGAAUGGUUCUUUGUUACAUUGUCGAGGCUAACCCAGACAAUGACCUUGAAGCCCAGGACAGGGCCUCCUGUGCAGCUCCAGGGGUGCAAGGAACAGAUAGGAGGGGGAGGCAGGGACAAUUUGGACUUGAAUUUUUUUUUUUUCUCAAAAUGAGAAAUUGAGUCUCUCAAAUGUAGAAAAAAAUCGACUGCAGUUUGGCUAGGAUGAGAGUGGCGGGAUGAAGAGACGAACGAGCACACGAUUUCCCAUACACUAGUGUCUGAGCCUUGCAUUCCAACAACCGUCGGAACUCCGCAGGACUCCGCAGGACUCCACUGUGCUCCUCAGUUAUCGUUGGGCCAUAUAACAGUGAAAUUCUUCCUCCUGCUGUGGCGUUUAGGACAACCCUUCUCUUUUUCCCGUCCAGGGAGCAGGAACGGUGGUCUCACGGGGCAUGGGGAACUCUCAGCAACCCCGCAGCCGGCGCUGUCUAAGAGGAUGAACUCUGAGAGCAGGAAGGACUUCUCUGGGUCAGCUCAAGAAAGGCUGGUUAAGGCCCCUCCAUCCACAGCCUCUCAUAUCCAACCAAGAAGAGACAGAAACCGGUGGUUUAAAGCUUCCUCCUGAGAGCAGAGCAGUAACCCGUCCUUACAGCAGCACUUUACUCCGUGACUUGACUUCUGUCUGGGGAGCUGUUUAGUUCAAAUCAAGAGGAGGAGACUUGUGAGAAUAACCAAGAGAAGAGGAAGCCAAGUGAUGAGAAGGAGGUUUGAGUCUUAAUUUCCUUCCAUCUGGGAAACCAAACAAGAACCCAAAUACUUGAAGUAUAAACAUUAGCUGUCUUGAAACAUUUGCAAGACAGUUAGCGGUAUCUUGUCCACCUCAGAAAGCACAACAAUGUCCAAUAAAGGGAGAGUUAAAAAAAAGAUACCA
rnacentral:lncRNA from 1 species